GAUGAACGCUGGCGGCGUGCCUAAUACAUGCAAGUCGAGCGAACAGACGAGGAGCUUGCUCCUCUGUCGUUAGCGGCGGAAGGGAGAGUAACGCGUGGAUAACCUACCUAUAAUUCUGGGAAAACUUCGGGACACCGGCGCUAAUCCCGUAUAAUAUAUUGAACCGCAUGGUUCAAUAGUAAAAGUCGGUUUUGCUGUCUCUUCUCGCUGGAUCCGCGCCGGAUUAGGUAGUUGGUAGGGUAACGGCUUAUCAAGGCAACCAUGGGGAGCCGACAUGAGAGGGUGAUCGGCCACACUGGAACUGAGACACGGUCCAGGCUCCUGCGGGAGGCAGCAGUAGGCAAUCUUCCGCAAUGGGCGGAAGCUUGGCGGAGCAGGGCGGCGUGAGAGGCAAAGGUCUUCGGAUCGUGAAGCCCUUUUACGGGGGGAGAACAGAUUUGUAAGGUAAUAUGCACGUCGUGACGGUACCUGAUCAGAAAGCCACGGCUAACUACGUG
rnacentral:rRNA from 1 species